GGGGUUGUGGCUCAGUGGAAGAGUGCUCACCUCUCACAUGCCAGGCGCUGGGUUCGAUCCUCAGCACCACA
rnacentral:tRNA from 1 species